AUGGGAACGCGAAGAACCUUACCUAGACUUGACAUCCCCUGAAUAACGUAGAGAUACGCGAAGCCCUUCGGGCAGGGAGACAGGUGGUGCAUGGUUGUCGUCAGCUCGUGUCGUGAGAUGUUGGGUUAAGUCCCGCAACGAGCGCAACCCUUAUCAUUAGUUGCUACCAUUUAGUUGAGCACUCUAGUGAGACUGCCCGGGUUAACCGGGAGGAAGGUGGGGAUGACGUCAAAUCAUCAUGCCCCUUAUGUCUGGGGCUACACACGUGCUACAAUGGUGGGAACAAAGAGAUGCAAGACCGCGAGGUGGAGCCAAACUCAAAAACCCAUCCCAGUUCGGAUUGUAGGCUGAAACUCGCCUACAUGAAGCUGGAGUUGCUAGUAAUCGCGAAUCAGAAUGUCGCGGUG
rnacentral:rRNA from 1 species